rnacentral:ncRNA from 1 species
GGAAAGCUCGGAAUUUAGAUAAACCGCCUAGGACGCAAGCGUCCAUUGUUGGUUUUCUAAAAUUCAGUCGCUUUCU